UUGGUGGUGGCAGAUAUUAUACAGCUGCUGAACUGUUCAGAGUAGUCAGUAUAGUGUCCAUGGUAUUACAUUAGGGAACAGGACCCUAAUGGCCAGAUGUACUGAUCCUGAGUUAUAUCCUGUAUUAUACUCCAGAGCUGUACUCACUAUUCUGCUGAGCUGGACGAGGCAGGACAUCGCUGCGGCCGGUGAUAGGUUGAAGCUCCGUGUGACGUGCCGGGCUAACAGGAAGUAAGAAGAAUACAGCCCGGGGACCAAACACCAGUAUCGGAGCUCCGGGGGCUCAUUGGCAGCUAUGUUGCAGUGAGGUCAAGUUCUGAGAGAGUGUCUGGUGUCCUGAGGAGGUCUGAAGCCUACCAUGCAGCCACGCAUCCAAAAGUCUACUACCCCACAGGUGAACGUCAAAACCUGGAUUAUACAUACAUAUCUUUGGAGACUAUAUGGCCCUGCAUGCUAACUUGAGACAACACCUUAUUCCAGACAUCUGAAGGAAUUUUUUGAGAUAAGAAGAUUUACCUGGUUCUUCGAAUGGUGGAAUGCUUCCUAGAAAGAAAAGAAAAGUUAUGGAAACAUCUAAAAAAAUGUAAAUCAUCUUUAAAAAGAGACACCAUUAAUUCAACAGUAUGUGCGAGAAUCAUCUCCAAAGAUGUGAAAAAUAAAAUAAAAAUUAUUAUCAGAAAUAUCAGACAAGACGAAUGGGUGUGUCGACUGCCCCGUCGUCAGACAUUGACGGUGGAAAAAAAUUAAAUGUCAGCGGUAUCGGGCAGCAUUGCACUCCACAGUCUUCCCUACACACACGGUAGAAGCCUUUGGACUAUAUAUGUAUAUAUAUAUAUGUGUAGAUGGCCAUGACACUACUGCAAUGGUCUGUGUUAAACAUGUGCUGGUCACUCACGUUAUCCAUGAGAAAAAAAAGUUCUAUACCACUAGCCCAGAUCAGCACAGGUGCUCAGACGAGCCCAGAUCAGCACAGGUGCUCAGACGAGCCCAGAUCAGCACAGGUGCUCAGACGAGCCCAGAUCAGCACAGGUGCUGAAGUCAUAUUAUCACUGAGCAACAGGAAUAGGUUAGUCAGUCUGCCUAGAUCAAUGCUUCCUAACCAGGGUGCCCUCAGCUAUUGCAAAACCACAACUCCCAGCAUGCCCGGACAGCCUUCGGCUGUCCGGGCAAGCUGGAAGUUGUAGUUUUGCAACAGCUGGAGGCACCCUGGUUGGAAAACACUGUGCUAUACACUUCAUCUACAGUGUGUUGUGAUAGACAAGCAGGGAAGGCCCCAGAAUACUGGGAGUGGGUGCUUGGUUAUAGUAUAUACGUCAAAGUACUGCACUGCUGUGUAGCAUCAGGUUAAGUGUCAUGGAGGUGCCUUGUUGCACACAACGCAAGAAACAAGGCGACACGACAACAGUUCCCAAAACUUCCUACCGUCCAAUGGGCUCUAGACUGAACGCGGUCGCCCGUUUGGCUUCAUACAGAUUACAGGGGGUUCUUGGGAACCUACCAUAGUCCAUUCGAGCAAUAUGUAUAUAAUAAAGAACAGUGUUACAUCAACAAUAACUGCUACCCCCCUCCCUCCCCCUUAACACCAAAAAGUAUAUAACCUAGCCGGGUAUUUUUUUAACAUUGCAAACAGAAGGAAGGGCUGCUACUAACCUCUUCUACGUUACGUGCGUUUAGGAAUAAGCCAACAAUUCUUGCUCAAAUUACCUUUCUGAAAUCAAACGAGACACUAAAAAAAAAAAGAAAAAAUUAAAAUAAAACAAAAUAAUAAUAAAAAAAUGUAAAAAAAAAAAAGAUUUUUAUUCUUCCGUAUAUAUAUGUGCCAAGCUGUCUUUUGCGCACGUCCUGGAUGCAGGCAGAACAGGCGCUACAAAAAAAAAAAUACACGACACCAAUGGCAGACGGCGUGUCUAACGUCAGAAAGGUAUCAGGAAAAGUGCAGCUUUACACAGUCAUGUGAAAUAAAUGAGACUAGAGGUUACUUGAAAUUCAACGUCCAGAGAAUACGCUUAGUGAAAGAAAACGUUUCAACAAAGCCCCGGUGAGCGGGAACGGUUUUUUAUCUCCUCUCACCAGCUAUAUAUAAAGUGAUAAAAAACAGAAAAAAUGACAAAAAAAAAAUAAAAGAAGAAGAAAAAAAAAAAUUGUAUGAAAAUCUAAGAAAAAAAAAUUAUUAUAAUAAUAAAAAGAAAUAAUAGUAAUUGAAAAAAAAAAAAGAAGAAAUCAAUAUGGUAAUUGAUAGUGGAGAAUUAAGUGGAUGUUCACGUGUGAUUAAAAUUUGUUGUAAUUGUGAAAUGCGGUAAAAAAAAAAAAAUUAUAUACAAAAAUGUAUUAAAUUGUGACGGCUUAAAAAAGAAAAAAAAAAUAAGAAAAAAUAAUAAGUCACAAGUUGACACUUUGGGUGGGAACUGGGUGUUUAUCCCCCUGUGAAAUAUCAGGACAGGUUCCCCCCGCAUGAAUAGUUUUGCCCUCUGUUACCCUGUGGUCAUUAAUGUGCAUGAUCCUCGGCCACGGCGAUAAGGAAUUCAUGAAAAGUCCAUCCAGGUGGCCAUAGUAGUAAACAGAGGGGAAUUUUUUUCGUCACGAUUCCUGGGUCGAAUGCCCCCCAGGACAUGGUAUUUGAUAACAAUGCCUAAAAAAUAGAAGAGAAGAAAGCAGCAGGGCAUCGGCUGAUGCCGCCAUCAGAAAGUGGCUUGGUACGACUCCCGUUAUUCUCAGCGAGGUGAAGAAUGGGAAGCGGAUGCCUGAAGCCUUUUUAUGCCGCCGAAUGGUAUUUUUUGAGGUUUGUAAAAGAUCAUUGUAACGUUACCUCCCUUCUUUCGUAUUACAUUUAGAGAAAAAAAUAAAAUAAAAUUGGAAAAAAAAAAACAAAAAAACCACAAACACGUGCAAUGUAAAGGGCUGCUCAGAGCAGCGCAACACUGCAGUAUCAUGACGCCAGCCGUACGCUGGAUAAAUCGGCUCAGCUCUGCGGAGUACAGGUCGCUUCUAGUCAAGGUGGGUGGAGAAUACUAAUAUAAAAGGGCACGGACUGCGGUAUCGGAACCAUUUUGUUUUUAUUCUGACAACCCCUCCUGUUCUAGGUGGGUGGAUGAGGCGUAUACCAAGUGGGUCCAUAAUGCUUUGCUUAAAGGGGUACUCCGCCCCCUAGACAUCUUAUCCCCUCCCAGUUUAAGUCAAUGGGGCUGUCUGUGAAGUUUAGAAUAGGACAAACUUAUUUACUAAUAAGGUAUGUAGAACCCUAUGUAGAAAGGCUAUGCUCACACGUCGGAAUGUCAGCAGACAGCGGGCGACAGCAGAACAUGCUGGCGCUAGGACUGCUGGGAAAUGCGCCUUCUCCAGAAAUGGCAAAGCAUUUCCGAGCCGAUUCCGGAAAAAAAAAAAAAGAAUUGACAUGUCGGAAUCGGAAUUUCUGUGGCAGAUAUAUCCGCCGUGUGCACAGUGCAGCAGAAUCCCGUGAAAUCAAUGGGAUUUUGCUGCAACAGAAUCUUUUUGCCACAUCUGGAGGUCCACAGUUUGGAGACCUCUGGUCUUCAUAUAUUAGUCAGACUAGAACGGUGACUAGCGCCAAAUUAUGACACAGUGGGAGUUGUAGUUUUGCAACAUCUGGAGGUCCACAACGCUAUGGUAUAUGCAGCAGUGGCUUAUUUAAAGGAGAUCUCUGGGAUAUUAAAACUUAUCCCCCAUCCUAAGGAUUGAGGAUACGUUUCAGAUCGCGGUGGGUUGGACUGCUGGGGCCCCCCGCGAUCUACCGUACAGGGCCCCUGGCUCUUUGCCGAAAUAGCGCGUUUCGACCACUGUAUGACGCGGCGGCUGACACCCCCCCUCAAUGCAUCUCUAUGGUAGAGCUGGAGACUGCCAAAUGCAUAGAGAUGUAUUGAGGGCGCAUGUCGGCAGCGCCGCGUCAUGUGGUAGUCGGACACGCCCCCUUGCCUUUGACUAUCAGAGCACCGUACGGGAGAUCGCGUGGGGGCCCCGGCGGUCAGACCCCCCCGCGUUCUGAAACUCAUCCCCUAUCCUUAGGAUAGGGGAUAAGUUUUCAUAUCCCGGAUUAUUCCUUUAACCAUAUCCCUUGUAAAUACACGAAAAACCAUUGAUAACCACACAUGGUAACGUUUCCGAUGCAGGUGGAGAAUAAAAAUAAAAUAAUAAAAUCCUAAAAAGGGGGACUACCAUACCACCGUACAGUCCGUAGAGGACCGCAUAGAGACAACUUAAAAAGACGGACUAAGAAUAUCGAAAGCGUUUCGAAAAAAUCGUUCCUACAUUUCUAGUGAUGGGUGCAGAGCGAUAGGCUGCGAGCCCCCUCUCAUACAGAGAAAAAGCCGAUGGGUGUUUUUUUUUUUUUUUAAGAGAAAAAAAAAAAUGUAAUUUUUCGUUAGUUUUGGAGAGGUGGACACGAGAGCUAAUAUCUUGCCCUCUCCUGUUCUAGUGAAAUUACACGUCCGGAGUACAGGUUUCAGAAUCACCACAAACCUCCCCCCCAGCAGCGGCAGCGUUCUCGAAGAAUACUGGUUCUGCUUAGGAUGCAAAUGUGGCUUUUUUUAAAAUCGUUUUUUAACUAAAUAUAUAUUUAUAGGUUACAUAAAUAGAUCUCUCUCUCUCUCUCUCUGCCUCUCUCUGUACAUAAAGUCUGUGCACAAACGUAUGCAUAUUCACAAUAUACACAGUGAGCCUUGUCAGACGAGUCCUCCAUGCGCGCACACGGACCGUGGUAUCCGCACGCGUAGCGGCAGAUAACAUCUAUGCACGUACAAUCAUUCACAGUACAUCUUCGCCUAAACUGAGGUUUAACCUUUUUUUUCUCUUCGCGACGUCAAGCAACGUGUGCAAGUUUUUUUGUUUUUUUUUUCUGCCGGACCGGGUUAUAUCAUUUGCUACCAGUAGGGGGAGUAUUAUUCAGAAUUCUCCUUUUUCUCCAUUU